AUACGUAGGGAGCAAGCGUUGUCCGGAAUUACUGGGCGUAAAGGGUGCGUAGGCGGCGCAGUUAGUCAGAAGUGAAAUAUCGGGGCUUAACCUCGGGACUGCUUCUGAUACUGCUGUGCUUGAGUGCAGGAGAGGUAAGUGGAAUUCCUAGUGUAGCGGUGAAAUGCGUAGAUAUUAGGAGGAACACCAGUGGCGAAGGCGACUUACUGGACGAUAACUGACGCUGAGGCUCGAAAGCGUGGGGAGC
rnacentral:rRNA from 1 species